rnacentral:tRNA from 1 species
CAAAAUGUAGCUUAAAUAAAGCAUCUCGCUUACACCGAGAAAAUGCCUGAGAAAAUCGGGCCCUUUUGA